rnacentral:lncRNA from 1 species
CCUGAAAAUCCUAGUUCUAGUAUUAAAAGAUCAUAUAAAAAAUAUAGAGAGGAUAAUAGAACCGCUAGAAAUAUCAUGUCGAUUUUUAUGAAAUCUGACAUUGAAAUUUUAUUUGAAGAAUAUAAAUAUGUUAAAAAUAUAUUUGUUACAGUUUCUGAUGCAUAUAGUUCUUCAUCUGUAACUCAUAUUCAACUUUUAAUUGAGAAAUUUAAUGAAACAUAGAUGAAAGAGGCUGAUAAUAUUA